rnacentral:lncRNA from 1 species
UUUUUUUUUCUACACUCACUUUAGAAGUUUCCCUGUUUCAAGCUCAGAUAUAAAUACACCAAUUUCCUUGUCAAAAAUGUUUUUCGCUAACUUACUCGCUUAGAUGAAUCUCAGGACAUGCAUAUACUCUUGGAUUAAAAUUGUCUCAAUUGUUCAAAAUAAGUAUUUAUCAUUUAUUCUGCCUUAUAAUCAUUUUCGUUCUUUCACUUAUUGAACUGAUAACACUGACUUCUUAUAAACAUGCAGAUCAACGCCUUAAUGAUAUCAUUGGUAGUGCCUAUUAUGUUUCACUUGAAGUGCUCCAUAAAUCUUACAGUGUUAAAGGAGACUUAUCGAGCGUUGAAGUUAUAUCGUACAUAUUGUUAUGUGGAAGUAGACCGCUUUGGGCCCGGACUGAAUCAGGAUGGUGACCUUUCAAAACUUGGGCCAGCAGAAAGAUUUUUUUAAAUCAUAGUUCUUGUAAUGUAUUUGUUACAGAUUAGCUACGAUUUUAAUUAUCGAUUAAUUGUGAAUUUUUCUGGAUUCAUGAACAAUGUUGACUUUAAUCAUGUGGUAUGUCAUGUCAGCAUCUUACCACGCUGACAUUGUCAUGUGUAUACCCAGUCAUAAAAAAAAACUUCCAUGUGGCGUGCCACGUUAGCUUUUGUUAACGGACAUUGACAUGAGCGACCAAAAGUGUACAAGGAAAAUAUUAGGAGAAUCAUUCUUUAAAGGGAAUUUUUUGAGUGACUAAAAGUGAAAGUGAAAAUAUCUAUGAGGAUCAAAAACUUAUUUAACCCUUAAAGUUAUACAUAUCAAUUUUGUCGAUUACUUCCAUAAAAUACCAAAAAAGAAAUAGAACUAGAGAAGAUAACUAUGUUUAUUAUUAUUUUGAUAGAUAAAUAGACAAAAUGUUUCUAAAUGGUAAUAAUAUCGUCAACUACUGGACCACCGCUAACCUAAACCGUUGAAUUUCCAAUCACCCCAUAGGAGUUCUGUUGCUGAUUUUCGCUAGUCCAAAAAGUAUGUUUUUUUUUACUUUAUAUUAUUUUAGGUUUAAAGGUAUAUACAAAUGUUCACCUUAACUUUAAAUCGAACAUGAUGCCAAUUAUCCAUCAACCUCAUUUCUACUCUCUCCAAAUUGACUCGUCAUUCAACAAUCUUGAUUAAGUUCAAGUCAGUGUUGAACCUUGACCUUGCCACUUGCACUCAACCACUGUUUCCCACUUAAAUAGUCUAGUAAGUCCACAAGUAUGGUUUUACAAUUUCAUUUGACUCUAUUUACUUUCGAAUGCCUUCUUUGAGGUCUUUGUUGAUGAGUUUUGCAAACCUUCAGCCACAAUAAACCAUAACAAUCAAGAUUAGCAUAAUUGUAUCCUUGAGAUGGUACAAUUUUACUCCUUACGUUAUCACAAGUCUGAUGAUAAUCAGAGGCCAAUGUAAACUUUCUUCAACUGAAACUAGUAUUCCAAGUAUGAACCUUAAGCAAAAAGAGUCUUCUUCGUCAUAGUUUCUAAUAUCUGCACCUCUAGAUCUUUACUACUCCUCUUGUUAUGGGCCUCACUUUGUUUAUGAUAAAUGUUUAUCAUAUAGGUUACACUUUCCACAACUUAUAACCCUCUCCGCCUUUUGAAUAACCAUUGAAGACACACUUCACAACUUUAUCAUCAAGCUGAGCUAUUUUGAUUUUUUGAUUUGUGCAAACGACAAAGCUUUGAAGACCUUCAAAUUAAAAAAGACUACUAAUUUCUCACUCUAAACCUCACUAUAAGCUUGUAAGUCUUCUUAUGCGAAUAUACAUUUUUCGACCAGGUAUUCUACAUUGGUAUCAAUCUUACCCUAGAAUAUAUCUGACAACUCAGCUCUUAACACCAUGCUAGAAGGGGUCAAAUGUGUUUUUAUCCCUCGUCACUUGCAAAACACCAUGAAUCUUGCAAGCCUAAUUGUUAUUGAGUCUAACGAUUACACCCUAUUCCAACUUCAAAGUCUCUAUUCAUUAUUUCCUUGGGCACAUGUGAUAGGAGUAUCCUGAGUGCAAGACCUAACUUUUUUUAGUUACCAAACUUAAACACCAUUAGUAAAUCAACCAUGGACCCGACGAAUCAAGCAUUUGUGGAGCUAUCCAAACAAUCUCUCAAACCUUAGAUUAGACAAAUCAAGUAAUCAUGGUGUGCGUAGGUAUUAACAUAUCACAAUAUCAUGUUUUUCUUUUCAGAAUUUUUCCUAUAACUUAAAAAGAAUAUGUUUAAUCAUUAGGGUUCCAAUUUUUAGAGAGUCUAAGGUGUUUUUUUUGUACCAUAGAGAAGGGAAAACGAAAUCCAUCAUUAGGGAAUCAAUUCUAAUGGUGUAAGGUUUUAUGUUUAAUAUUCUAGUGUCAUGGUCGUGAAUCUCUUAUGAAUUAGAGGGUAGUUCCCUUUAAUUAGGUUUCCUAUAUAUGAUUCUACCCUAAAUAUGAGAUUUAUAUAAUUCUCUAUAAAUGUCGCUGUAAUAAAUUUGUGUUUAUAACUAUAUAACUUUAUUUGAUUUUAAUGCUUUCUUUCAUAUACGAAAUUGAAAGUAUUGAUUUAAUUGGAAAUUGAGACUUAGCAGUCAAUUUCUCAUCAAAAUGGUAAAAUUACGAGAAUGAAGUGAUAGUUCAUAUUGCGACAAGAAUAGUCUCGAUAACCUGUCUAACUUUAUGCACUAUAAAACCUUCGUCAUUGUGAUUUGAAACUCAUAGUAUAUGGAAGGUUGCUUCUGACGAAGUGGGUCACCUUACAAUUGGAGCACUAAAACAAAUAACAUUUUUUGUGACGAAGCUAACACCUCGAACAAUAGAAAAACGAGGGUUUAGGUACUGGGAGCACCAUGUUUCAUUUUUCAAAAAAAAAAACCAUUUACCUCAGUCUUUAAGAAAAGUGAGGGAAUAGAGUUAUAAUGGAGCUUGCUUCGACACUCGGUCUUUGCAUUUUAGGUUUUUUUCCUAGUUGUUUAGUUAGUAUUUCUCACUUGGCGUCUUUCCAAGUUCCGUUUUACUCAUUAUUAUUUAUUACUAUUUUUUAUUAGUAUUUACCUCGGCUACAUGGUCCAACUGAGAGGUAAUAUAUUUUCCAUUAAAUAAUUUCAAAAUACUAUUUUCAAAAUCUUAUUAUAAUUUUUUAUUUGAUAUGUUCAAACCUCUCGGUUAUACAAAAAAAUCGACGUUAUAUAUCUUUUAAUUGAAUUCCCAGAAUAUGGCAUUAUUGUGUUUUUUAUAUUUUAUAUUUUUUAUUAAUAUUGUCACGUCGGGUUUUAUAUAAAAGCUGACGCGACACAUAUAUUACAAGAAAUACUUCAAACUACAAUCUAGUUAAUUUCUAACUUUUCAUUUACCUAUCAACGCUCAAAUGUCAUUUCGUCACUCUCAUUUCGCCAAAAAAAACUAGGCGAUUUUCAAGCUAAUAUUCAUCAAAACUCUUCCAAUAGAUAUUUAUCAAGCGUCAUUUUUACAACAGGUUUGUUCUUCACUGAAACGAGUUACAUAACACUUUGUUUUUCACUUAUUAUUUUGUCUAGGGUUUUACAUUAGUUUUGUCUUUUGAUCAAGGUUCCUCAAUGUAUACCAAGGUGAAAAAGCCCAAGAAACUGGUGUUCGCUAUCCAGUUACAGUUGAUGUUGCAACCGGAAGGGCUUAUGGUGAAUAUGAUGACGAUUUUAUGGGUCACAUUACGUUACAAGGUAUAAGUAAAGUGAGCAUUUUUGAUAGAUAGUUGGUACGAUGUUAAAGAGGUAUUGAAAUACGUCAUACGGGAAGAUGUUCAGAUAUUUUAUGAUUUGUUUGCAAGUAUAUAGAAUUAUUUAUUUUUUAUUUAAUACUAAUAACAUCUCUAAUGUGUAAACAUAUGAUAUGUUCAUUAUUAGUCUAGAUGAUGAUAAUGUGAAAGAGAAGAUGCUUACAUAUUGUGUUGAGCGUUGGAGGGGCUUUAAGACAAAACUCGCCCAUGAUUAUAUUAAACAUGGAGAAGAUAAAUAAAAGUCGCGAUUUGACCGAUCCUGCUCCUGCCACGACAUAUGUAUUCAUUUAUUGAUCAAGAUGUUUGGGAGAAAUUUAUAGAGUCUCGCACCACUCCCGCCUUCUUGGCAAAGAGCCAAAAAGGAAAAGAAAAUUGAGCUAGAAAUAUAUAACCACAUAGAUUGUCUCGUAGAGGAUAUUGAGUGGAAAGAUCAAGCUAUCAAGUGGAACGAUGACUGCCAAGAAGCAUUUGAAAGAAUCAAACAGUAUCUGCAAGAGCCACCAAUAUUGGUACCUCCAGUUCCAGGGAGGCCUCUCAUUAUGUAUUUGAUAGUACUCGAUGAAUCCAUGGGAUGUGUACUGAGGCAGCAUGAUGAGACAUGAAGAAAAUAACAUGCAAUAUAGUACCUAGGCAAGAAAUUUACUUAAUGUGAGACCAGGUACUCCUUGUUAGAGAAAACCUGUUGUGCAUUAGCAUGGGCUUCUCUUCGCCUAAGACAAUACAUGAUUUUCCAUACUACAAUGUUGGUAUUCAAGAUGGAUCAUAUCAAGUACAUUUUGGAGAAACCCGCAUUAACUGGAAGAAUCGCUCGCUGGAAGAUGUUGUCAAAAUACGACAUUUAAUAUAUGACCCAAAAAGAAAUUAAAGUCAGUGUGUUAUCAGAGUACCUCACACAUCGAUCAAUGGAGGACUAUCAAUCAAUGAAACUGAACUUCCCAGAUGAAGAUGUCAUGUACAUAAGAGAUUAUGAGAUUCCCGGCCUAGAAGAAGGACCUAAACCAGGAUCACGAUAAACGCUCGUGUUCGAUGGUGCCUGAAAUGGAUUGAGCAAUGGAAUUGGAGUUUUCAUCACUUCUCCAACAAGUUUUCAUAUUCCUUUCACAACUAGGUUAAGUUUUGACCGCAGUAAUAAUAUGGCAGAGUAUGAAGCAUGUAUCAUGGGAAUUAAAGCAAUAAUUAAUUUGAGAAUAAAAUUCUUAGAAGUGUAUGGAAAUUUGAUGCUAAUUAUCUAUCAGAUCAAGGAAGAUUUGGAGACCUAUCACCAUAAUUUGAUUCCAUACUGAAACCAUGUCUUGAAGUCGAUCCCCUAUUUUGAUGAGAUUACUUUCCAUCACAUUCCUAGGGAGGAGAACCAGCUAGCUAAUGUUUUGGAUACUUUGUCAUCCAUGUUCAAGGUCAAGUGGGCUAAUAAAUUGCCUGCUAUAACAAUUCAACAUCUAGAUGAUCUAUCAUUUUGCUUGGCAGUUGACGUAGAAACUGAUGGCAAGCCUUGGUUUUAUGACAUUAGGCGAUAUCUUGAGAAGAACGAGUAUCCACAAGAUAUCUCCAUCACUGAUAAGAAGACCUUGAGGAAGUUAUCAGCCAAGUUUUUCCUAAGUGGUGAUGUGCUCUAUAAAAUAAAUUUAGACAUGGUUCUGCUCAAAUGCGUGAAUAGAAAAAAAACAUGCCUGCUCAUCAAGGAGAUCCAUGAAGGUUCUAUUGGAAUUCAUGGAAACGGACAUGCAAUGGAAAAUAAUAUCCUUAGAACUGGCUACUAUUGGUUCAUAAUGGAAACAGACUAAUACCACUAUGCCAAGAAGUGCCACAAGUGCCAAAUUUAUGCAGAUAAGGUGUAUGCACCACCCAAUCCUCUAAAUUUCUUGACUAAACCAUGGUCAUUCUUAAUGUGGGGCAUAAAUGUGAUUGGUAUGAUCGAGCCUAAAGCUGCAAAUGGACAUCAUUUUAUUCUGGUUUCCACUUACUAUUUCACCAAGUGGGUGGAAGUUACGUCUUAUGUGAAUGUGACAAAGCAAGUGGUCACCUAUUUUAUCAAAAAAGAAAUAAUUUGUUGCUAUAAGACUCCCAACAAAAUUAUCACUAAUAACGGAUCAAAUAUGAAUAACAAGAUGAUGAAGGACUUAUGUGAGAGCUUCAAGAUUGAACUUCCUAACUCAUCACCUUAUAGACCAAAGAUGAAUGGGUUGUAGAAGCAGCUAACAAGAAUACUAAGAAAAUCAUCCAGAAGAUGGUGAAUACUUACAAGGAUUGGAAUGAGAUGUUUCCUUUUGCUCUGCACGGGUAUAGAACAUUUGUUCGCACUUCAAGAGGGGAAAUCCCUUUCUUUCUAGUAUAUGGCAUGGAGGUUGUGCUACCAAUAGAAUUUGAGAUCCCCUCACUGAGAGUCUUGAUGUAGACUUAAUUAGAAAAGGAGGAAUGGAUUCAAAACAGAUAUGACCAACUCAAUCUAAUUGAAGAAAAGGAAUUACAGUGUUGUGCCACGAUCAGUUGUAUCAGAAAAGGCGCAUGAGGGAAUUUGACAAGAAGGUCCGACUCGAGAGUUUCGAGUAGGUGAGUUAGUGCUGAAAAAUAUGAUUUCCAUCCAAAAGGAUUCACGCAGGAAAUGGAUCCCCAACUAUGAAUGACCACAUGUAGUGAAGAAAGCAUUCUCUGACAAAGCUUUGAUACUGACAAACAUGGAUGGAGAAGAGUUACCACAUCCCGUCAAGUCUUAUGCAGUUAAGAAGUAUUACGCCUAAUAAAAGGAUGGAUAAUAAACGCUCGAUAAUUCAAAAACUUGAAAGGACAUCUUAGGCCAAAAUAAGCAUCCCAGUGAGUUGAAAACCCGCAAGGGAGACUCAGGAAAAAUUUAGGGAUAAACAAAAAAAUUAAGCUCGGUAUGUCGAAAACCCUAAAGGGAGGCUUAAGUAAAAAAGGGUAAGCCUCCCGGUGAACUAAAACUCUAAAGAGCAGUUCUCGCAAAAGUUAGGGAAUAUCCAAAGGCAUAAGACUACAGCACGCGUGCAUGUGUUGCAAUAUAACUCAAAUGGAAGGGUACAGUCCAAUCACCAUCCUCGGAAGCAAAGUAAUGAAGAUUAUAGGACAUAGGGGGAAAUAGAAAAUAUUGUAUUUCGAUGGAAAUUCAGUUAAAAUUUUCAUUUCCAUUUAUUUGCUUUCUUUUUCUGUAAUCUCCUCUUAAAGGAAUUUACAUAUUCAUGUACCUUUAUCCCAUGUAUGAGUUAUUCUUCUUAUCAAAUAAAAUCGUUCAACUGAACAUUUAUUCAUCAAUUGUUUUUUUUCUCUCUGUUUGUUUACAUAAUAUUAUUUUUACUCUUGAUAAAAUAAAAACACUAAAAUAACAAAAGAUUUGAAAACUUUGAAUUAUUUUGAUCUUUGAAAAUGGCAACGGAAUAUUUGUUAACUUAAAAUAGUGCAUCUGAUUCACAACGUGUGAAGAAUCUCGAUGAUCAUCUUAAUGAGCAAAUCAGAAGUCACCAUUCUUCCAGAAACAAGAAUCAGCAAGGAGCCCGACAGUCGGCAAAGCAGAAAUUAGGGUUUUGCAAACCAUAUUCAUGGUAUCAAAAUAGUUCAAGACCAAGGGUUGUUGGAUACAUUAUUUUGUGUAUAUUUGUCUUCGGCCAAGAGCAGUUGAAUCUCAUAUUUGCACAGAUUUGAUUUCGACCAAGAGCAAUUGAAUCUGAUUGUUUCAGCCAAAAGUAGUUGGAUGUGUUGUUUCUAUCCAAGAGUGGCUAGACGCAAUAGCUCCAACCAAGAAUAGUUGGAUACGGUCAGUUUCAUCCAAGAGCGGUUGAAUAUGACAUUUCAGCCAAGAGCAGCUGGAUGUGAUCAUUUCUUUCCUAAGAGAGUCUGCUUCCAGCGAAGAACGUUUGAAAAAUAGUAGAACAAUAUAAUAUGCAGUUCCCAUCCCCUGCAGAGUUGUAUAGAUGAUUCUAUUAUCAUCCAAUAAUAGUUGAACAUGGAUUUCCAAUCCCCAUAGAGAUCCACCAACAAAAAAAGAGUAUCACAUCCAUAGAAAUCAUUGCAUUUACAUAUCGUUGCAUUUCAUUCACAUUCAUCUGUGAUUAAUAAAUCAAGAUUAUUUUCUAGUCCCGGUACAUACUGAUCAUAUUCAUAUGAUGAUUGAAAAGUCAAGAGUAUUUCUUAAUAUCUUUGUAUCCAUUCAUUCAUCGGGAGAUUAUGAAGUCAAGAGUAUUUCUUAAUCCUAGUACAUGCAUCUAUCAUACUCGCUUGAUGAUUAAGAGAUCAAGGGUAUUGCUUAAUCUCAGUGUAUUUACUCAUAAUCAUAAGUAUAUCAUUCUAUUGCAUAAAAAGGUAAAAAUUUGGUUUUGUUUUAUAUUUAAACUUUCUUUCACUAUGAAUAUUUAAAGACAAGAGUUCUCCAUAUCCUCUAGUUAAAGAAACUUAAACAGGGUAGGUUGUCACAUCCUAAUUUUCACCCUAAUAUUUUCAUUACUUCAUUCAAAUUGCAUUCAUACUUACUGUUUACCAGUGAUUUCUGAUAAACAACCGCUAGUCUUCCAAAUUUAUAUAUUUUUGGUAACUCACAGGAUCGACUAGAUUGAUCCUAGGAUAUGUGUCUCAAGAACUGUUAUUACGGUGAUUUGACUCAUGGUUAAGUUUGUUUCUAAUUUGUGGACGACGAAAAGUGUUUUGACAAUAAUUCUGAACGAAACAUAUGACUUUAUGAACAAAGUAAAUGACAAUAACUUUAUACCAAAAGGUUUCUUAAAGAUAACGAAAAUACUUGGGAAGGGUAAAGAUAAAUGACUCGAAGUAAAUGCUUUAAGUUUUCAGAUUUCAUGGCUUCUAGCCACUUCUCAGACUCGGGACCAGUUAUGGCCUCUUGGUAUGUCACAGGCUCAUCUUGAUCCAUGAGUAAUACAUCACCUUGAUCAGUUAUAAGAUAUCCAUAUCUCUCAGGUAUGUGACGUAUCCUGCUUGACCUACGUUGGUCUUAUUCUACUUGAGCAGGUUGCUCUUCCACAACUACUUGUGUUUCCUGCUCUAAUUCCUCCAUAGGUGUAUCUAUGCUUUGUGAUUCUUGAAUUUCUUCAAGCUCUACUAUCCUCCCACUGAUUCCUUUGGAAAUAAAAUCCUUUUCUAGGAAAACUCCAGUUCGAGCGACAAACACUUUGCCCUUAGAAGGAUUGUAGAAGUAAUACCCUCUUGUUUCUUUAGGAUUCCCCACAAAUAAGCAUUUGUCAGAUUUGGGCUCAAGCUUAGUUGAAAUUUGUUGUUUCACAUAAACUUCGCAACCCCAAAUCUUCAUGUAAGACAUAUGUGGUUUCUUACCACUCCAUAUCUCAUAUGGUUUCUUCUCAACCUUUUGGAGGAACACGGUUAAGUUGCAGUUUGUUAUCAAUAGUGCAUUGUCCCAAGAAGGACGUUUUGGAGAUCGACCGUGACUCAUCAUGGAUCGACAAUUGUCUAACAGGUUGAUUUCUUCUCUCAGAUCUACCAUCCACUUAGGGUGUCCAGGGAGGAGUAAGUUGGGAUAGGAUCCCACCUUUUCAGUAUGGUCAUCAAAUCUAGCUUAACAUACUCACCACCUCGUCUGCAUCAAAGAGUUUUAUAUUCUUACUAGUUGUUUGUACUUCAUUUUGAAUUCCUUGAACUUUUCAAAGGACUCUGAUUUGUGUUUCAUUAAUACACAUAACCAUAUUCUACUGAAAUAUCAGUAAAUGAUGAGUUGAAAAACCUCCUUUGGCUGGUUAUGUUCAUGGUCCACAUAUACAUCGUAUUGUAGGCCAGGGCCAAAGUUUAGCUCUUUCACGCUUUUCGCUGUGAUGGAGAACUUUGUCAUCUUUCCAAUUAAACAGAUUUGCAUGUCUCAUAUUGAUUUCGUAUAAUCGAAAGAGUUCGCAACAGUCCAUCUUUGUAUGGAGUUUGAAAUCGUUUCUCAUUUAAUGUGGCCCUAAUUGACAAUGCCAAAGGUAGUUGGAUUUAACUCAAUUAGGUUAUCAUCUUUUAGUAUUAAUGUUAAAUAGGCAUUUUAAGAUCAAGGACAUAUAUCCAAUUGUUCAUGUUGUGCAGUAGCAUAGAAUAUAUCAUUCAAUAAAUUGACAACAAUUGUUUCUUUAUUAUAAAUGAAAAACAAACUUGUCCAACAAUGAAACGACGAAAUAAUAUUCCUGCUAAUUGCAGGUACAUAAUAACAGUUCUCUAACUGAAUUAUUAAACCACUAGGUAAAGUCAAUACAUAAGUUCCUACGGAUAAAGCAACAACCUUUGCUCCAUUGCCAACUCGUAGGUCAACUUCACCUUUUGCCAAAUCUCUACUCCUUUUUAGCCCCUGUACAUUGGUACAAAUGUAAGAACCGCAUCCAGUAUCUAAUACCCAUGAUGCAGAAGUAGAUAAAUUAAUUUCAAUAACAAAAAUACCUGAAUUUGAAGUCUCUACUCCAUUCUUCUUAUCUUCCAAAUACUUUGGGCAGUUUCUCUUCCAGUGUCAGGUCUUACCGCAAUGGAAGCAGGUGCCUUCCUUUGUUAUGCCUCCACUAGGCUUCAAAGCAGCAACAAUGGGUUUGGGUUUGGAAACUUCCUUGCCUUUCCCUCUAUCACCCUGCUUGGUGGGUCUUUUGUUUUGUCUCUUUCCAUUUCCGAUCUUCAGAAUGGACUUCCCUUUUGACUUCAGAUUUUCUGCUCAGCAGUUCUUAACAUGACUAGCAGUCCAGGAAGAGAUUUUUACAUCUCAUUCAUAUUGAAAUUUAGGACAAAUUGACUGAAUCUAUCUGAAAAUAAUUGCAAGAUCAAAUCAGUCGCAAGUUCCUUUCCGAGGGGAAAACCCAACCUCUCAAGGUUUUCCACAUACCCAAUCAUCUUGAGCACAUGGGGACCUACAGAGGCUCCCUCAACUAACUUGCCUUGAAAAAAGGCUUUUGAAACUUCAAAACUUUCAUGUCUUGCUUGCUCUUGAUAGAGCAUCUUCAGGUGUUCGAUCAUAUCGAACGCUGCCAUGUUCUCAUGUUGCUUUUGCAACUCUGAGUUCAUGGUAGCUAGCAUGAGACAAGCAGUUUCAUUGGUAUCAUAUUUCAUGCCUUGCUUGCUCUUGAUAGAACAUCUUCAGGUGUUCGAUCAUAUCGAACGCUGCCAUGUUCUCAUGUUGCUUUUGCAACUCUGAGUUCAUGGUAGCUAGCAUGAGACAAGCAGUUUCAUUUGCAUCAUCGACAUGCUUCUUAUAAGCAUCUCUUUCUGCCUUAGGUGCAGAACUAGGAGGUUCUUCUUCAGGAACAGGUUUCUCCAAGACAUACAGCUUUUUAUCAUGUUUGAGGACAAUCCUCAGAUUUCGGUGCCAAUCCAGAAAAUUUGUCCCACAAUUUUUCCUUGUCAAGGAUUGAUCGCAAAAUGUUGUUAGAGGUGUUUAUUGUCAUGGUAAUCUACAUGAAAAUAAUGAAAAUAUAAGUAUCAAUAACAUAUUUAAUUAGGCCUUUAAUUAAAUAUGCCCCCACUAUUUUACUCAAAACAAAUGACCCUCAUCAUUUGAUUCGGAAAAUCCCGUUGGAAGAUUUUCUAGUGGGUCGAGAUCCACAUUUCACUUUGUUUUAAGUCCGCGUAGGCGGAUUACACAAGACUAGGUUAUUUAGGUAGGAACUCCUUCCAAUUGUAUCUAAUACAACUCUCGAAUAUUUAAGUAUCAAUAACAUAUUUAAUUAGGCCUUUAAUUAAAUAUGCUCCCACUAUUUUACUCAAAACAAAUGACCCUCACCAUUUGAUUCGGAAAAUCCCGUUGGAAGAUUUUCUAAUGGGUCGAGAUCCAUAUUUCACUUUGUUUUAAGUCCGCGUAGGCGGAUUACAUAAAACUAGGCUAUUUAGGUAGGAACUCCUUCCAAUUGUUUCUAAUACAACUCUCGAAUAUUUUAGUUGGGUGAAUAACUCCUUAUUCCAAUCCAUCACAUGGAUCAUUUCCAACUCUUGCUUCUAAACAUAUAUAAUCUUAUUAUAAUUUGAUUAGUUAAGUUUGACCCAUUGUUUUAACAAUUGGAUAUUACAAUUAUCCCAUCGCACCUUAUUAAUAUAGAACAUGCACCUCGCGUAGGCGAAACCUACAUUAUCCGAUACUAGUCUUGAUGAGUGCUAAAACUUGGAAAGCCUAAACUUAAUAUUUAAUUUGAGGGAAUUUACAAUUAUUCUGAUCUCACCGGCUUAUUUAUCAUAUAAAUCGUCUCUCACAUGCAUCAACAUACAUUCACAUGCAUCAACAUACAUUCACAUGCAUCAACAUACAUACACAUGCAUCAACAAACAUACAUAAUGAAACAGUUAUGGCCCCUAGCGCAAUUGUUCUCCCAAGCCAAUGAGAGAACCUAAGCUAACCUAAUAACAAUAUAAGCUUCUCCAAGCAAGAUCUUCAAGGUUGUCCUCCUUUGAUAUUGACUUCUUCUCUUUCUUCAUAACAUUACAUUACAUAAAAGAAACUUGUUUUACAUACGAGGGAGUGAGAUGAGAAAAGAAGUUACAUUAUGAGAUUAAAAGAGAGGCACGACACGCAGGUCGUAUUUUAAAAACCCAAAACAAAUUAAAGGAAAACUAAGGCCAUAACCGAUCACCACAAGACAAUAAUAACAAAAACAUUAUUAUUAUUAAUUUUAAUUCUUUUAAUUAAUUAAAACCAAAUUAAAUUUCGGAGACCGAUCACACUACGCAGAGUUAGUCGGGGGUCCGCUGCCCGGGCCGUAAAUUUUAAUGAACAAUUCAUUUAAAAUUGACGUCAUUUUUCGCAUCAACACUUGAUACUUUAAAGCACAACUCUUGUGUCGUCAUUAACCCUAAUCGCAUAACUUUUUGACAACACAACCCUUGUGCCAUCAUUAACCCUAAUGUAUAACACAACCUUUGUGCCGUCAUUAACCCUAAUGCAUAACUCUUUGACAACACAACCCUUGUGCCGUCAUUAACCCUAAUGCACCAAUUUCAGACCGUCAAACACAUCUCGAUUGUUGAUUCAGUAUGAUUGAUCAACACGUCAUUGCUUCACCAUACUAAUGUCGGAUCAAGAAGCAAACGACCAUUGAUCGCUCAAAGGAAAACAACCAUUAAGUAUUUGAAUGAAUUAAACAGAAACAAUAUAUCAUAUAUACCGUAUUUUGCAUAAGGAUUACUUAUAUCAUAUAUAUAACUUGAUCGAUCUAAAUUUAAUUACUCGUUUAUUCUUUGAUUAAUUUUGUCUUUUAAUCGUAUUAAUACAAAAAAUAAACAGCUAUCAGAUGCAUGGUUUCAUAAGUGGCUCUGAUACCACUGAAGGAGAAGGACGAUCCAAAACGCAGCGGAAUUUAAAAUUUCUCCUUUAAUGAUCCUUACGAAUGGGCAUGAUCAGUGAUAGAAUCGUUACCUCUUGUGGCGAUCACGGACGUUGAACGAUGACAAUGCCUCUACUUAGUCCACACGAACGAAUUCCUUCAAUCUCAGUGCUAGCUGCUACAAAUGAAGGCUUUGAGUGAGUGAGAGAGAGAGAGAGAGAGAGAGAGAGAGAGAGAGAGAAACGAAAUUGCAAAUGUGACAAUGUUUCUACACAAGGGUUCUAUUUAUAGAACCAUUUGUGUGGGCUGCAAAAUAAAAAAAGCCCACUCAAGUGUAUAUGGCCUAUAUCUUAUAAUAUGCCAAAGUCACUUAAGCGCGUGGUACCUUACCAUAUUUCGUAUUCUACUUAAGUACACCGUAUCUUACGAUGUUCUAUAAUUCACUUAAGGGCACCGUACAUUACGGUAUUCCUUAAUUACUAUAUCUCUCAUCAAUCCGUCCUUUGUGUGUGACCCUAUAGGUUUUCGCAGCAUUGGCAAUUAUAUUAAAUCACGUAUUUAACAUAAUAAACAGUGAGCGGUAUCUAGCAACACACCACUGCUACCCAAGACACGAAAAUGUCAUGUGAUCUGACAAAUCCUUAUGUGAUAAUAAUUAUGUGUAUAAUCAUCCUUUUGCCCUUAUGUCUAUAUUGAACACAAGGCAUAGACUGUGUCAUCCUUGUCUAGUUCAAUAUUGGGCCCAUAGACAUUUAUCCUGUUACGCAGGAUGGGAAAAUUCCAUCUAGGUCACUCAUGUCCUUUAGCAUGCUUCGUGGAGUACCCAUCAACUGUCUUUAUGGUCAUCCAAUUACGGACAACGUUUGAUCAACAAUAAGGCACUCGACUCUACAUCUAGGGUCCAUAGUGGUUUCAGGUCGAAGGGUGGUAUACACAUUAUCACCAUGAGAAUAACUUAUGACAUUUGCAUGCAUUCUAUAUAGUAUUCUCAUAGCGGGUCAAUCCAGUAUAAUAUUACCUUAAUAUUCAUACCUAUGUUUAAGACUUGAUAACUCUUUAUCCAUGAUCCAUGAGAUGUGAUCAUCAGUCUAUAAAAUAAUAGUCUUCAUGCUUUAAUGUUAUCUCACUUCACAAUAAAGCUUGACUACGGAUACUUUAAGAAUAUUGUCCUUAUGUUUAAGUGAUCUAUGAUUAAGUCAUACUUGAUACAUUAACGGACUAGCUAUUCUAGGGACUUUAUUAAACAAACAUAAUAAAGAAAAAGCCUUUUAUUAUUAAUAAAUAAUUCGAUACAAGUACCAAAAGUAUUGACCUCUAGGGCUUACACCAACACAUUUGUACUCCUUCGUCAGUUGCUUGAUUACUAAUUCUGAGUCUCCUUUAAUUUCGACCCUAGUUGCCCCCAAUUCCAACAAAGCCUCAAGUCCUGCAAUAAGGGCUUUAUAUUCUGCUUCGUUGUUAGAACAAAGGGGACCUUCAAUUAUAUAUUUGAGUUUUGUUGGAAUUUCGUUAGGAGAAAUUAACAUUAUCCCAACCCCACUUCCAUCCUUAUGAGUGGAACCGUCGAAGAAUAAUUUCCAAGGUUUCAACUCAACUUGAAGUUGAGGAUUUUCGACCACUGCAUGGCCUACAAUAAAGUCUGAUACUAUUUGUCCCUUCAUUUCCCUUAAAGGCAUAAAGGUUAAAGAGUAUUCAGUGAGUGCUAAAGCCCAUUUGCCAAUUCGACUGCGCAUUAUUGGCUUAGAUAACAUAUACUUGAUGACAUCAAAAUGUGAAGAGACGUAUAAAUCAACAGGUUUUAUAUAAUACUUGAGUUUAGUACAAGAGAAAUGCAAACAAAGACACAACUUUUCUAUUGAAGUGUAUCUAGUUUCUGCAUCAUUUAAAACCCUACUAAGAUAAUAAAUGGCUUUUUCGACGCCAUCUCCAUUCUCUUGCGCCAACAUGCUAACUAUGGUAGUGUCGGAAGCUGAUAUAUACAGUCUCAUAGGCUUCUUUCCACAUGGUGGUGCCAAGAUAGGAGGAUUCGUCAAAUAAUGUUUGAUCUUGUCGAAUGCCUUUUAAUGUUCGUCAUUCCAUUUGAACUUCCCUUGUUUCAGGCGCAGAAGGGGAGAGAAGUCUUGAGUUCGACCACUUAAAUUCGAAAUGAAUCUUCUUAGGAAGUUUAUCUUUCCUAAUAAUGAUUGCAGUUCUUUCUUGGUUGAUGGUGCUUUGGUUUCCAUAAUAGCCUUCGUCUUGUUCUGAUUAAUUUCUAUCCCCUUUUUGUGGACCACAAAGCCCAGAAAAUCUCCAGUCAUCACAAAGAAUGCACACUUAAGAGGAUUCAUUUUUAAGCCAUGUUUUCUCAUUCUUUAGAAUGAUUGGCUGAGAUGGGUUAGAUGAUCUUCAUCUGACGUAAAUUUUAUCACAAUGUCAUCUAUGUAUACUUGCAUAAAUGUCUCUAUAUAAUCAUGGAAUAUAGAAUUCAUUGCUUGCUGGUACGUUGCCCCAACGUUUUUUAGGCCAAAAGGCAUAACUAUCCACUCAUAAGUGCCUAUUGCCCCUGAACAUCGAAAAGCUGUUUUAGAUACAUCUUCUUCUGCAAUGAAAAUCUGGUUAUAGCCAGAAUAUCCAUCAAGCAUGUUGAGAUAUUCAUAGCCUACGGCUGAGUCAACCAGCAUCUCUGCCACAGGCAUUGGAUACUCAUCUUUAGGAGUUACUGCAUUUAGAUCACAAAAAUCUAUACAUACUCGCAAAGAGCCAUUUUUCUUGAUAAUAGGGACUAUAUUUGCAAUCCAAUCGACAUACCUUGUGGUCCUGAUGAAAUUGCAACGGAGAAGUCUUUCGACCUCUUUUUUUAUCUUUGAGAGGAUUUCUGGGGCGAAUCUUCUUGGAGUCUGCUUGAUGGGCUUCUUGCCAUCCUUGAUAGGCAGCUUUAAUUCGACCAAGUCCCUCUUCAAACAGGCGAAUCUUCUUGGAGUCUGCUUGAUGGGCUUCUUGCCAUCCUUGAUAGGCAGCUUUAAUUCGACCAAGUCCCUCUUCAAACCAGGCAUCUCGUCGUAAUCCCAAGCGAAGCAAUCUUUGUUUUUCCUUAGAAAUUCAAUAACUCUCACUUUCAACUUGGGGUCCAGUUUAGCGCUGAUGUAGGUAAUUCUUUUUGCACUUCCAUUUCCGAGAUCAAUCUCUUCGAGACGAUCUUGCGCUAACAUCUUUGCACUUGACGUUACUGGAUCUUUUUCAAAUCCCAAAGGCUCUUCGUCGUAGAUGGCGUCUAACCUCUGUUCUGUUGGUCCCACAGGUACUUGUUCGUCGGGGAGUUUUGGUUUAGAGAACUCCCCCGGUCCUGUAUUAUAGAUUUCAUCAUAUGUGACUUUGUUAGCCAUGUUUGUUAUCUCGGCUUUGAAAGCCGCUUGUCUUUUGUUCUCAUCCAUGUAGGCCGAAAUCUUUUCGAGGAAAGAAGACUCAGUCAUAGUACGGGUCUUCAUCCUAGCCCGUUGGUCGUAUUUCAGAUGAUUCCCCUUCUUCUAGGUCUUCCAUAAUCUCCAUGUCCCACUGAAAGCCAUUUGGGUGGAGAUUCAAGAAGUACAAGGAAUUUUAAUUGGGGCGUAGCCUUCUUUUGCUGGGUAACAUGGUCCUAUGUGCGUCAAGUUCCUGUUGAAGUUUCUUUUGUCCACAUGGUUUACUUCUGCCAUGAAGUAACUUUGGUCAGCUUCGACAUUCUCUACCACGCCAUCUUCUCUCCAAAUAGAUAUUCUUUGAUGCAUGGUCGAAGGGACCGUCCCUAUUCCAUGUACCCAUUAUCUCCCUAGUAGUAAGUUAUAAUUUGCUUUUGCAGGUAUUACCAUAAACAUCGUUGGUCCUGUGAUUGACCCAACAGUCAGGUCCACUUGUAUGACGCCCAGCGUCUGUCCUAUCUUACCUUCAUAAUUUGACAAUACCAUGUUGUGAGGUUUGACAUCAGUGUCGAACAUCCCUAUCUUUUUCAACAUGAAUUGGGGCAUCAAAUUGACUAUUGCUCCUCCGUCGACCAAGACUUUAUUCACUCCCACAUGUCCAACUUUGGCCCUAAUGUAUAGGGGCUUAAGGUGACUCUGCAUCCCCUGGUGAGGCCUUUCGAAAAUAGCGUUCUGCUCUUCGACAGCACCACUGUUCAGAACAUAGUAACACACUGGUUGAUGCUUCGCCAUCUCCGCAUCGUCCGCUUCCUCAUUAUCUUCAACCUCUGUUUCCUGGUUAUACUCGUACGGCAGGACUGAGACUAUGUUGCAAUUCAUAUUCACAGAAGACACUCCGUCGGACUCGAAGUUGUCUGUGAGAAUUUCCUCUUCUCUUACUUGUUCCUUUUGAACCUUCUGACUUAUGUUUUCAUCUGGAAAUAACUUCCUUCCUACGGGUGGUUUGGUCGAAUCCAUGAUAUUUGGGGGAACCUUGACGCUGCUGGAUUCUCCAGUCUCUUUUAGAUUCAUCUCUCUUUCUACUUUCCUCAUCCUCUGAUGUCUUCUCCAUUGGGAUCUUGACAUAGGUUUUUUUCCUUUAUAAUUUUCUAGCCUAAUAGCCUCUCUCCUAGACGCCUGAAAUUGUUUUCUGUACGCCUAAGAGGUUCUUCCUCCAUCUUCGAAACUUCUCCACUUUCCUUUCUUUGGUCCCGCCUGAUUCCAUUUGUCCUCAGGGACUUCUGUUGGCAAUUUAAACAUCUCCAGAGAUAUUCACGUAGGCUUUUGUUGGCUUUGGGAUAGCCAAACUUCAUCCCUUCUUGCUCCAUCUUCAAACAUUCCUCCACUUCCUCCAUUUCUGGGAGGGGGGUUGCUUCAGAUCCACCAUCAGUGAUUGAAAUUGCCUCGAACUUCUUUCUUAGGCCCUCAGUAGCCUCGGUUGCUUUCCCCUUGAGACCUUCAGUGGCCCUUGGUUCGACGUUAGCAACCUGUUUACAUUUGAUAGAGAUUCCAAAGGAAACAUCAUUACUUAGGCCAUCAGUAGCCUGCUUUCCAUCCAACGUAUAACCUCCAGUUCCUGUUGCUUUUACAGCAUCCAUUUCCCCUACGUUAACCAUAUUGAUUUCGACAGGUUCAUCGUAGUUUGUCUCAGCAAUGUUGAGGGGAUCAGUAUCAACUUUCAUCUGGUUUUUCCCUUUGUCAGCGAACUUGAGGCGACCAUCCCUGAUUGCAUUCUGAAUAAGAUCCCUGAAAAGAAAGCAUUGUGAAGUUUUAUGGCCUAAAAAAUUAUGAUAUUUACAUAAGCCUCUUUUCUUUCGUUGUUCUAACGGAGGAAUUUUGGUAUUAGGAGGCACUAUCAUUUGGCCAUCUUUUACUAAUAAAUCAAAGAUCUCGUCACAUUUGGUAACAUCAAAUGUGUAAGUCUUUUUGGGAAAUCUAUCAUUCUUUUCGGUUUCGACAGGGUUUCUGCCGUUCGAAGGUGUAAGUAAUUUGCAGGCAUAUGGUGGUGCUUCUUUUAAUUCUGCCGAAUCUACUUCGAAUUCCUCAAGACCAUAAGGGUCUUCAACGAUUUCAGACUCUCCGUCUUCGAAUUCGACAUAAGACCUGUCGAACCCUAUCUGCUAAUUGGGCCAUGUCUCUUAGAUGUUGGGUAUCUAACUUUUUCCUGAUGGAAUAGUCUAAACCUCCAGCGGCCAUUUCGACCAACUCGUGUUCAAGCACUAUUGUAAAGCAUCUAGAUUUCAACAAACGGAACCUAUUCAGAUAAUCAUCUAUAGGUUCGGUGAAUUUUCUUUUGAUGAUGACUAAUUCCUUAAGACUUAUCUUAGUUUGGCCCAUGUAGAAUUGUUCAUGAAACAAUCUUUCUAACUGGGGCCAAGCAUCUAUGGAAUUUGGUGGCAAAUUUGUAAACCACAUGAAGGCGUUCUUUGUUAAAGAACUAGGGAAAUAUUUCAUCCUUAAGUUCUCACUGUUCGCCAAAUCCCCUGCCUCAGUCAUGUAUUUGGUUAUGUGCUCUAUAGUGGAUUCACUAGUGUCCCCUGAGAAUUUGGUGAACAUAGGGAUUUUACAACCCCUUGGUAAUUCUGUUUGCAAGACAUAUUCUGAUAAAGGAGUAAAAUAAUUUGGUCGUCGAAGUCCUGUAUUCAGACCAUUCUGGGCCAUGAUUCUCUCUAUCAUACUGGUUAAGUCAUUUUCCAUCAUGUUUUCCCGCCUGACCCUAUGAAUUACUUCGUCUGCAUCCUGGUCUCUAUUAACCAUUAUCACUCUCCUAGGUUGUUCUUCAGGGACUUCCCGUCGAAUUGGCUGUUGUUCCAAUCUUGCCCUCAUGACUCUUUCGUCAGGGGCUUGCCUUUGUGGUCGAACCUGAUCUAUCGUUGGUUCUUCUCCCUAGAUUAUAACCUAGUUUGGCCUGCGUCGAACAACAGAUUGUGGGCGCCUAGGAAAUUUUCUAUGUGUCCCAUCUGCGCUGACAGUUGUUCGUAUGUUUGGGCAUUGUCAGUGUUAGUCCUAUUCACAUUCUGUAUUAAGGGAGAAAAAAUGGUAUUCAUUUCUCUGCCCAGAACUCCUACCAUAUCAUGGUUACUAGCAUCCAUUUGUUGUCUAAAGGCUGCCUGAUUAUUCAUUGUAAAGGUAGGUAAUAGGGUGAGGACUCCUUGUGAUUGGUUAUUUCGACCUACAUGGUUCAUGCCAGAUCCAAAAUUUUGGAUUGGUGAAAUAACCGUAUUAUGUGGUUAAGUAUAUAUGGAAGAAUUGUUUUGAAGUCCUGCCAUGGCAGUAGAUGGCAUUCCAUAUGGGUAGUCUCUCACAGGCCUAAAGUUCUUGAAUCCUGGUGGCCUAGGGGUUGAAACUGCAGGAGUAUCUGCCGCGCCUGACAUGAUAGGCAUUGCUGUCGAAUUAUGCAAGGCCAUGGGUCCAGACGUUGGUAUGGUCUAUGCAUUAGGGAUCUUAGUGGAUACAUCAAUCAAAUUUGCUCUGAUUGUGCCUGUCCCCUGGGGAGGGAAUUGUUCCCCUUGACUGGUUGUAUUAACCAUCUUUUUUGCAUUUUUUCUGUUAGUUAUAGGUUGUGAAUUGUUGGCUAUCCUACCACUUCUAAGGAUCAUACAACACUACUUUUAAAACCAAAAGAAUAACAACAAUUUUGCGAAUUGUAAAACAAACUAUUGAAAUCAACAAUUCUUUUGACACUGUCCCGCCGAGUAUGCCAAUUUGUUUACCAGUGAUUUCUGAUAAACAACCGCUAGUCUUCCAAAUUUAUAUAUUUUUGGUAACUCACAGGAUCGACUAGAUUGAUCCUAGGACAUGUGUCUCAAGAACUAUUAUUACGAUGAUUUGACUCAUGGCUAAGUUUGUUUCUAAUUUGUGGACGACGAAAAGUGUUUUGACAACAAUCUUGAACGAAACAUAUGACACUAUGAACAAAGUAAAUGACAAUAACUUUAUAGUAAAAGGUUUCUUAAAGAUAACAAAAAUACUUGGGAAGGGUAAAGAUAAAUGACUCGAAGUAAAUGCUUUAAGUUUUGAGAAAGUACUGGAAAUGAAGACUUGGCGAAAUGUAAAUACAAUAGUAAAAGUGAUGAUAAACUACUAAAAAUAAGGGCAAUUCGACAGAAUAAAAGGCAGUGAAUAACUUUAAUUUAAAUAAUUGAUAUGAAAAAGAUAACAUGAACGAAACUUAUGGUGUUCUUCAUACAUACAUUUUCAGUGUAAAACUCUUUUCUCUCGCUCUGGUACUUCGAGUGUAUUUUGUGAAUUUCUGUAUAUAUGUUUGAACACCCCUUGAAUCUAAAACUAAGACCCCUAUUUAUAGCAAUUCGACCCUAACGGCCUUUACACCUAUGACUGCCACGUUCGCCAUUCUCAAGCGUUGCAUAUCUCAGAUGUUUCCACGUGUUGGCCUGACGAAAACGACUUUGUUUAAAUUUCAAAUGCUUCCCGCUUGAAGCUUCGACUCUGUGAAUGCCUAUGUCGAAGAGAGCUUUAUGGAAACCCAAAAAAUCUUCUAAGUCUUAGGCUUCGACAACAAAGAAUUGUUUACCCACGAAAAGAAUUAAACAGCUUCGACACAAUCAUCUUUCAUUUAUUCUCCAAAACGUAACACUUCCAAAGGACUUUAGCUAUCUGUUGAAAUUUCCAGCUAACACUUACAUGAUUAUUUCUUAUGGAUAAGGUUUCAAAAGCAUGGAGGUUCAUGAGAUGUGAACCAAGCAAGGCCUUAAACUAGGGUUUUCUCAUCAAUAUUUUACCAAGCUUAUUCAUCUUUUCAUCUUGUUUUGUUCUUUGAUGGAAUAAUACUUUAGAUUAGGGUUUCAUCCAUUCAAGUUCUAGGCCUAAUCAUAUUCCCUUAGUAUUUUGAAUCUAGUUGUCAUGCAUAUUAUCUUUCCAUUGUGUUUUAGUACUAUCGUUGAAAAGACAAAAAUAUAUGUGAGCAUGUCAUAUUUGGUGUAUAUUCAACUUGAUUUAAUGCUUGAUUUCUUUCUUAUGGGGAUGGACAUGGAUUAUGGUUUUUUUACUUUCCUUCAACAUCAUUAGUUUGUUUCUUUGAUCACCUAGCCAUUAAUUACUUUAGAUUUUCUCAUACUUGUAUCUUUUCUAACUUAGUGCAUUCAUAAUUUUGCAUUGCAUGUAAAAGACAAAAAAUAUGCUUUUAUUUUAUUUUGAUUACAUCAUGAUUUCAAAUUCUAUCUUAGUGUAAUUCAUUUCACCAUAUCAUGUUUUAGUCAUAUUUCGUAAUCCAUUAAAACAACAUGAAUCUCAUGAAAAGCUUGUCUUGAUUUUAUGGUCAUACAUUCAAGAAAACAUUAGGCAUCAGUGUAGCAAACUUCAUGCCAUCAUUAUUGGUGAAUAUCAAAUUUUAGUACAUCACCUUCAUCAUUUCAAUGCAUCAUCACAAAUCAUUCAAGCAUGUUACUAAUUCAUAAUCCAUUCAAAAUCAAAAUUCGAUUCAAGUAUGAUCUAAGAUUGGUUUUGGUGUGGAUUGAACAAGAUCAAUUAUUCUUAACUCAAUUGUCAUGCAAAGUUAAAUCAUUUAAUUUCAAGCAAGCUUUCAUGAAGGCCAUGUUACUUAACCAUGAUUCAUCAUCACCAUUUUGCAUAUUCGGAUUCAAGUCACAACAUGAAACUUCAAAGUAUUAUCAUUAAAAGUUCACCAAAGUUAUCAAUUCGUGCUUCAUGGUCAAACAUCAUCUUAGCAUGUCAAGUACAAGUUUGAACAAGCAUCAAGUCAAAGUUUCAUUACAAAUUCCAAGGUCAGGUCACAAGGAUAAAACUCAAUGAUCAGGAUUCAACAUUGCAAGCAUUGUUCAGAGCAAACUUGGUUUGAGUUCACCAAGUUUUAUUCAAGAUAGAUGCAAGGUCAUUAGAUGAUUAUUGAAAUCCAUUACAAAUCCAAAUCAAAGUCCAAAAUACACUUCCAUAGAAGCAAUUACACAAGCAAAGGAAGGGUGUAAUUACAAGAGUAAAAUCAAAGUGGCAUAAUGGCCCAAAGUGGAUUCAAAAUCAGCAUUCUACAAAGCAAAGUACAAGUUAGCAAAUACAUGCACAAUGAUAUACAUAUUCACUACAAUGAAAGUAAUUUGAGUUUGUUUAUAUAAGCAAAAGAGUGGACCACCAUAUUCACACUAUACUUUUCAAAUCUCCACGAAAUCAAGAGCAUGAGGAUUGCAGAAUUCCAUCCAAAACUGCCAGCUCACAGGUUACGAUUUCAACUCAACAAAUUUCUGAAUUUUCACACGUUUUUGGCAUCUUUUCUCACACAUGUGGAAAACUGAUUUCACACCCCAAAUUUUACCCCUAGAUUUCAUAAUCAUUUUCAUCCUAGAUAUCAUUCAUUCAUAGCUAACCUCAAGAUCAAGAUAUGCCCGGUUUGUUUCAUCUAUGAAUUAUGGUUUCUCUCAAAGAGCACAAAGGAUUGAUCAAAGUUUUUGAUUGAUCAUCAAUAAAUCAAGUUCUCGUACACUCAAGAGAUCACUCUCCAUAAACAAAUAAGUGUAUUAUGGCAUAAUCACAAGUGCAUCAAGCUUCAUUUUCACCUGGUUCACUAAUUAGGGUUUCUCAGCAACAUUCAAUUUCAUCUGAGAAUUUUGAUCAAGACAUGACUUAACACACUAAAGUACAUACUUAGAGCCCAUCCAUGAUGUUCAAUUGGCUCAAGAUUUUGAAUUCAUUGAAGAUCAAGAAAUUCAAAUUCAUCUGAUACACAACCAAUGCACUGUAAAGUCAAACUUUUGAGAUUUAUGACAAAAUAUGAACUUCUCAAGUUAAAUUUCAUGAGUAUAUGUUUAACUGAUGAAUUUGAUUAAUAAAAAUCAAUAUAAAUGAGGUUACUUGCAAUAAAGGCAAUCUUGAAGACAUUGAAAAUUUCACUAAGUAUCCAAAUUUCAUGUUCAAGUGCACUACUUUCUCAAGCCAUAACUUCCAAUCCGAGAAGCCAUUUUCUUUGAUCCAAAGCACAAAUGAAAGCUAUUGUUCCAUAAUUAAACUUUGUCCUAAAGGGUUGAUUCCCUAAAAGUGUAAGGAUUUUGAGUUAUGAGUCCAUAAAGUUGGUGUCUCAAGUUGAAACACUUAGAAAAUUUUCAAGUCAGCUUUGAUCCCUAAAAAGUGAUAAAUUUUACAGCCCAUUUUCAUCAUGAUCCACUUUGAUUCAGAAAAAACUCAAAACAUGAAAGUUGUAGAGCAUGCCUGGGGAUUUUCAAAAAGUACAAGUACAUUUUUUUCCUAUGCAUGAGCUAUGAGUUUCGAAAAUGGGAAGUUAGGGUUCCAAACUUGAAUUUCAAGUCAUGUUCAUGAUGAAUAAAUGGAGGAAAACCAUUUCAAAUGUGAAAAUCUCUUGAUUACAAGUCCUCUUGUGUAUAAAUAUAUCCAUCAUCAGAUGCUUAAAUGAAUCAUAAGUGCAUUACACAAAUAAUUAAGGUUUUGUCCAUUACAUUAUACCAUUUAUGGAUGAAUUUGCAAAAGGUCACAUUACUACUUUGAUAAAGCAAGCUUUAUGACAACAACUCUCUCUUUUACCCUUGAAACUUGUUCCUAAAGAUCACAAAUAAUCUUAAGUGAUCAGAAGCAACCUUGUAGAGGCUAGGGAAACAUGACAAACUCAUUGAAACUCCACAAUUCAUGCAAACUUCUCAUUCAUUCUCAACCAAAACCAUAACUUCACAACUUUUGUUCUAACCAGUUCAAAUCCUCACUUUUUCCCUAUAAGUAGAGGGAUCCCUUAAGCCUCAAAACACACAACAAUUACCCCUCAACACUUCAUCAAACUCCCAUUCCAUUAAAAUUUGCAAAAAUAUACUAUUUUUGCAAGUUCUCUAACCAAGCUUAUUCCUCACGUGUAUCUUCCAAACAAACACCAUAAAUCAUCUCUAGACACCAUUUAGAGCUUGUUUAAUCACUUGAACAAGUUUUGUAGCCUCUUUUAUCAUUCAUAAUUUCACUUCUUCAUUUUACAAGAACAUUUGUGUGAGAUGAUACAAGUUGUUUCUGGUCAUUCUCAUUGUUCAAACAUUAUUCUCAAGGAUCAACAAGGUUAGUAGAAUCUCUCUCUUAUCUCUGUAAUUGCUAAGAAGAAGCAUUGGACUUUCUCCAAUAGGUAAGUGCACUUACACUUGAAACUCUUGUGCGUACAUCAUUCUUAAAUAUUUAUUGAAGUAAAAAUGUAGUGCGUAGUAUGUUCGUUGUAUGUUUACUACUGUAUGCAUUAUACAAUGCUCAUGCAUUGAGAUUUUACUGUUAGAAAAUUAAAAGUGCACUUCUGGUUUUUGCCUUGACACACUUUGUACAUUGAUUUUUAGGAUGAGAUAGUGACACCAUUAGAUUCCUUGUGAAAAAUAGAGAAAUUUAGAUUCUUACGGUUUUUAAUUUUAUGGAAAAUUGAGAGAGUUAUGGUUGUUGGAAGUUUGAGAAAAAAAUUGAAAAGAAAUUGAAUGAAACAUGCAAGAACACGAGGAAGAAGAUGAUGAGUUGGUGUCAUUUUCCAAUUUCUGGAAUCAUUUUAUUAUAUAUAUUAAUGUUUGUAAAUAAAUAAAUGGAUGUAUCACCCAUUUAACGGUUAGAGUGUGUGUGUUAAGGCUUUGUAUGUGUAAGAGGUUUGAGGUUUAAAUCUCCCUCGCCCCAUAUCCAUUUUUAUUCAUUGUUUCUUUGCCUAUUUAUUUUUGUUAUUUUUCAUAACUUAAAAGACUUAUAACUUGAUGAUCCCUAAGCCUUUUUUAGCCACUAUUUUUUCUAUGUGUUCAUAAUUUUGUCUAUUUUAUGAUGGUGAAAAUAAAUUCUAGAAUUAAUUUAUUUUCCAAAUACUUAUACUUGUCUAAAGUUGAUACCUUUUUAGGAUUGUUUUAGAGUUUCAGAUGACCUUCUUUGGUUGAUACUUUAAUUUUUCUUGAUCACCAUGACUUGUAUGAAUGUUGUGCAUCAUAUAUGAACUUUGUUUUAUGUUGUUAAUAUGUGCCUCUUGGUUUUGACCUAAUUUUGACUUACUUUAAUGUAUGUUUACAUGUUUAUGUGCUUUGAACUUUUGUUACUAUGCCAUGAACUUUUGUGUGUUUAUUUUACCAUUGAUCCAUGAUUCACAUUUCAUUCUUUCAUGUCUUGUUGAACCUUUGUGUGCAUGUGUUCCCUUGUGUUUGUCUUUGUUUAUGUGUUUACAAAUGCUUUAAACUUGUAAUAACAUGUCUUUGUAUGACUUGUAUGCUUACUUGUUCAAACUUUUUGUAUGAUAUUGAACCUUUGAUUGUGAUCAUAUUGAACCUUAACAUGCAUGGCUUGAAUACCUUAACUUGUUUUCAUGAUUAAGUUGAUGUUAUGUCUUACUUCAUGCAUAUACAUGUUGAUUCAUAUUUAUUAUGACAUCCAUAUACAUGUUCAUGAAUUGUUAUGUCAUUCAUCUUUGUUUCUUCAUGAUGAUAUAUCCAUGUCAUUCAUAUUCAUGUUAACUUUAUACAUCUUUGAUUGAUGUUGUUGUACUUUGUUCGUGUUCACAUGUUGUACAUAUGUUUUUACAUACCAUGCUUGAUAUUAUUAUGAUCAUGCUUCCAUAUCUUUGUUGAUGUCAUAUAUGAACAUCUUCUUCAUUUGUUUAUCUUUGUUGAUGUCAUGCUUGAACAUCUUCUUUAUCAUGUGCUUAUAUUUGUUGAUGUCAUGCUUGAACAUCUUCUUCAUUUGCUUAUCUUUGUGGAUGUCAUGUUUAAACAUCUUCUUCAUCCUUGUUUGUCCUUGUUGAUGUCAUGCUUGAACAUCUUCUUUACCAUUUGUUUAUCUUUGUUGAUGUCAUGCUUAAACAUCUUUUUUAUCAUGUGCUUAUAUUUGUUGAUGUCAUGCUUGAACAUCUUCUUCAUUUUGCUUAUCUUUUGUUUAUCUUUUUGCCCAAAUCCAAGGGAAAGACCUCUUUAUUGACUUAAUGUCAUAGGUAGUUUAGAAAUCCCUAGUUCCUCUUUGACCUUGUUAGAGUCAUUCUCACUUUCAACUUAGAUUUAAGUAAGAGUUUGUAACUCUUGUAAGUAUGUUUGUUAUGAAAACUUACUUCCCCCUUUGGAACCUUGAUCAUUACCAAGUGUUUUUUCACCCUUAGUUAGGUGAACUACGGUUGCUCUGAUUCCAUCCUUAUAAGGAUACGUAGGCACAUGAUUGCGAAGUUUUGGCGAGCAAACUUAAUAAAACCUUUAGGUCCUUCCCGAUAAAACAUUUCCAAACAAUAGCAAACAAACAAUAGGAUAACACAAACAGUUUCAAAAGGUUCUUAUAGGAUACUAUAGAUACUUAACCUUUCCUUAGUAUAACCCCCCCCCCCCCCCAACUUUAGAUCUCUUCGCAUUGCUUUUACAUUGCACAAUUAGGGUUUUAUUCGAUCUUUUCCCUUUCCCUUGGAUAAAUUAAAGUUCGGUGGUGAACAUUUUAACGUUUUGUGAUUCAAGUUAAUACAAUAGUUUGAUAUCCGAUUCUCACUGCAACAACUGUAUUCAUCUAUAAAUAGAGUACUCUACUCACUCUAUUUCUCAAUCUUUAAGAGGCAAAAAUACGCUGCAAAAUUAAACCCAAAACAGAGCAAUCAGAUUCACUCACACACUCACUUUCACCUCAAAUUUCCUAUCAUAAAUCCUUCCUUAAGCAUCACUAAAGGUGUGAGAAUAGAGACAGGGUGAGCGAGAGAAAUAGAAAUCACCUACCUAAGUGUUUGCAAAUUUGAUCUAUAAUUGGUUUUGAGAGAUUUUUUUUUGUAUUUUUUAUAUCUCUUAUGUUUGUAGUUGGACACACACACACACACACACACACACACACACACACACACAAACCACACACACACACACACACACACACACACACACACACACACACACACACACACACACAUAUAUAUAUAUAUAUCCUGAUAAAUAUUUUUUGAUAAUCUCCUUGAAGCGAGUCAGGUGAGACUGCAAAAGUAAUGAGGAUUUGUUGUUUGGGAGGUUUAUUUUAGAAGAGAGGGAUGACCACCAAUUUUGUGGUCUUCCCAGGUUUUUCUUCUGUAUCUAUGUCUCCCCUUCCAUUGUUGUCAGCCCCAUAUUUAUAUUGUUAUUCUCCUUCUACCAAGAUUCCAGGAGACUCACGAAAUUACAUUUAAUGGACACAAGUAACAGCUUAAUGAUCAUUACUAGAAUAGAAGUUACAUCCGUCCAUUAUUGAUGAAGUUCAUAAUGUUCCAUGAUUUAUUGAAGAAUGUUGCAACAGACAAAUUAUAAUUUCAUAUUCGGUGAAUGACAUUUGGCUAUCUCUUUUAAAAUUCGAGAGAGUGCAUUCAGACUAAGUAAAUCAUCACAGACAUAUCACUAUUUGAGAUAUAAAUACCAUAUAGUCGUUACACCGAUUUGUACUCACCAUCCGAAAACGUGUCUCCGAGAACUCAAUGAUCCGGACUCCUAUUUGUUUCAUAAGUAGCAACCCGGUUAUCAUUAUCUUUUUCAAGUAUUUGACACGUCCGACUUUCACUUCUCGAAACUUUUUUUUUUAGUAUAUGCACAUCAAGUGUGAUCUUUGUGGAAAGGCAGCAACGUAUGGAUGUAUGUGAGCUGAAGGCGGAUAUCUUUUUGAGAAAGUUCCAAUAUUCAUCUUUUAAUAGUGCGUGCUCUCAAGCUUUCUUCCCUUUAUGAGAACUUAAUUCUGAAGGAUCCAUAUGGGCAAGUACAAUUGGUAUUGUUCAUGUCAUAUUAUCUUAUAAUAUUGAAGUUUGAUCACAUACAAAAGCACGACGUACCGUAUAUAUUCUCUUUGCCUUUUAUUAUAUAUUAUUAAUCAUUGCAAAACCUUUUUAUUUUUAAUGUGUAAAUUGUACUCAUCAUGAAUAAUGUUACAUUUUUAUAAGUGGGGAAAAUCAGAUACUAAUAGGUGUACACCAACAUAAGUUAAGUGGAUACGAUGAAUUUAUACGUUUCUAAUUAAUAAAUACGUUCCCUAGCAAUCCAUCUGAAUCAGUCAUAAAGCAUCUUGAGAUUUGGUAAUCUUAAGCUGGAAUUCCAUUUCUAAAAUUAAACAAAAAAAAAAAAAGCCAUAUUGUAACUAUUAUAGAAAAAUAUUAUAUACCCGCUUAUGGCAAGAAUUUGAUUUGGUUCUAAACAUAGACAAAGUCUCGGAAACAAUCCCCUCAGCAAUUUUUAUUCUGCCAUCUCUCAUGUGUAAUGUUGGUCGUUAGAUUUGAUUUUAAUUGUUUAAUCUUUUUUCACUUUUUUCUUCUUUUCCAUGCUAUUAGAUUAAGUUAAUGGGCUAGAUGAAAGCAGAAUGAAAGGCAACAGACACUCCACAUGAGAAGAACCAGAGUCUCACACAUUCAAAACUAAAGUAAUUGUUACAAAAAAAAAAGUAUUAAAAAAUGCAAUAUGUGAGAUGCUUUAAUUUUGUCCUUAAAAAGAUCUAGAAUUAUUGAAGCUAUUCAUAGAUGGUGAAGGAAGAAUUUGUGCACUAAAGCGAAGAUCAAAUUUCUACAAGCUAGACUCAUUGGAACCUAUAGACGAGCACAAGCGAGAAAAGACUUCAGCUAAGUAGUUUCAUGGUAAAGGAAGGAUUUGUGCGCUAAGCGAAGAUGGGUGUUAUGGCUAGCUAGUUAAGGCUAAUUGCAGAGUGAGCUGACAUUGCUUAACAAGGAUGAAAGUAGGCGCGUUAGGCAAGGAUGGAUAGUGUGCCUAGCGAGCCUACCUUUUACAAACCUAUAAAUAGGAGGUCUGGAUUUAAGAGAGUAUAGACAUAGUAGGUUCACCUUGAUCUCCACAUGAGAAUAUGAUAAGAAGAUUAAAGGCAGAAGUGUUGCUCGAGUGAUCGUUGCAGAUGGCCUUCUAAGUUUGUCUUCUCGGGAUUACAUGUACAACUACGACGAGUAAGAAUAUUUAGAAAUCUCUUUAUUGGGGGAGGAUGUAGUCAUUAUAUUCUCAUGUUUAAUCAUGGCCAAUGGUGUUAUAUGUAAUUUCACUUAAACUUUAAUAUUGAUGAUUCCUCAUUCUUAAUGCUUAUUUUGGAUUAGCGACCUAAAAUAUGUUUUUAUGGUACAACUUGACAUAUGAGAGGUGUCGGUCUUUACUAAAUCCAAGUAUAUAUCUAUUUAAUGUUAAUGCCUAGAGAUAUGUUUAGGUUCAAUAUCCACAAUAUGCUGAUAAUUGAUGAUCCAUAUCUUUAUUCAUUGUCGAAUCUUAAUGUUGUUGUACUUAAUAGUGCAAGAGAUUACAUAUUGGGUAAUAUAAUUGAUUUCACGUUGUUGAGUUAGAGAUGAGAUACAUGAAAGCAACAGACUGUGAUAUUAAUAGCUGAGUAGAGGAGCGUAUUAUUGACUAAUAAUUAUGCACGAGUAUAAACGAUGACGAAAUCUACCCCUAGCAAGUUUUCUCAAUGUUAACACCAAAAAUUCCAUUUAUUUUCUGUCAUUUAUUUUUCUGAAACCAAAAAACUCUAAACCCUGACUUAGAAUCAUAAAAUUUGUUGAAUUCAUCUUUAAGCACAAUCAGUCUAUGCAGAUACGAUAAUAUUGUAGUUGUUAUUUGCACUGCUAUAAUUACCAAAAUGAGGUAUUAUCUAACUUAUAAAUGUUAGGUUUCUCGAGUUAUUAAGAGGGGAAAGAAUAGGACAAAAGGUUUAUUUUUUAUUAGGGUGUCUGGCGAGACUUUGAAUCCCACUCUUACGUAUCUCCGGGUGCGAUGGAGAACUCAGGACUACGUAGUUCUGGAUAGAAAAUGUUUCUUUGUUGAUCUAUUUUAGUGAAAGCUACUUCGUGUCAAUCGACAAAAAAAUAUCGCUUGCUACCCAAAACAAGUGGAGAAGGGAACGUUUGCAUCACGGUCGAAUGGAUUUACAAAUCAACAUUCACAGGUAUCAUCGCUAGCUUGCUCACACAUUCAAGUGGACGAAACAUUGUUUUUGCAUCGUCUUGAGACAAAAUACAUUUUGUUUAUAAAAAGGGUUUUGAGGAUCAAUCACACGACGACGAGAAAAGAGUUUGAUUGGUUGAAUGUGCUUUGAGUAAUGGUGAGAACUUGGAUGGACGAGAUAUCCAUCUCGAAUCUUAGUUUCUAGAGCUCGUGGUAUCCACCAUGUUCCUUUUCCAUAUUAUUUGCAAAAGGGUUUGAUAUUUUUAGAUGUUUUGAGGUUUGAUUGAUAAAAGGUUUGAAGUUGCAUGGAAAAGUUUGAAUGAUGGUGAGAACUAGGAUGAGCGAGAUAUCCAUCCCGAAUCUUAGCCUCUAGAGCUCGUGAUAUCCUUCAUGUUCCGUUUCCAUCUUUAUUGAAAAGUGUUUAAUAAGAAUUAAGUGAUUUGAUUUUCAUUGGAAAAAUAGUUUGACGUUGGAUCAAUCAUUUGAUUAACGAUUGCAAAAUGGUUUGACAAAAUGGUCUGAGAGUUUGAGAAGGUUUGAAAGUAGAAUGUUUGAAAAGUUGGGAUGAUAUAAAUGGAUUAAAAAGAAAGGUUUGAAAUGGUUUGACUUUUAAGAAAAAUACUCGAAGUUGAAUCAAGUUUUUAUUUUUGUUCUUUUUCUGAAAAAUGGUUGAUUUUACUCUUGUGUUAGAAACUAUUUAAAUAAUAAAGCAAUAAAAAAUAAAAAGAUAAAAUUAUUACACAUCAUGAGAAUUGGGGUAUAUUUUAUAAAAUAGGGAUAUGAUAAUGAAGUGAUUAAAGCAAACCCAAUCAAGCAAACACAUGCAAAUAAGUGUAUGUGAACAAAAGGAUCUCAUUGUAAGAAGGCACAAGAGCAAGCCAAAAGAUAGGGUAUAGUGACACACAUGACAUAUGCACAACACACGUUCAUUGUUAUUGAAUCGAAAGAAGUAAAGCACAAGUGGAAUGUGUACGGGUCAAGAUCAUGAUGCGAGGAUGUGGAAAGCUAUUGAAAGUAGAAUUCAAGUUCGAUUUAAGCGCAACGGUGUUGGAUCGUUGUAGGUUGUCAUUAAUUAAAGUAAUUGGUAAUGUGAAACGGUCAUCGCAAGUCGAAUCGAGAGGCAACAAAAUAAUCAAAUGAAAGCACAAGUUGCAAAUCAAAAUGUGAAUUGGUUGGUGUACAAAAGCAGAUCGUCGCUAUGAUAAAUCAUCGAGCACACAUAUAAUAUUGAAACGCAACAAAUCAACUAUAGUUCACGCAACGCUAAAAAUAUACUCAAAGUCGGUUUAUACGUACCGACAACAGGCGAAUAUUGCACGCAAAUGUAACCAAACAGGUCAGAAUGCGGCAAAAUUUACAUCCAUGUAUCAAAACUAAAAUCAGCGGUAUAAAAACAUAAAUCUUACUUCAAUGAGAUUUAUAGAGUAACACUAAUUUUGUUAUAUAUGUAAAUAAAUGUUAAGUUUGUUUAUUAUUUUGGUACUUGAUGAAAAUCAUUGAAGUUUAUAUAUAAUAUAUAGUUUUAUUAAAUACACCAUUUUGUACAUAUUUUGGUUCGUAUAUAUAUAAAUAGAUUAUGGUAGAAAAUGUGUAUAAGUAUGAGAAUUAAAAAGAAUGUCGUAUAUAUGAUAAAUUAAAAAAGAAUAUUUAAAAAAUAUUAAAGAAAUUUACCACGGUUGUAUCAAUUCUAAGUAUGGUGAAAUGUGACGCGCUAACUACUUUUUACUCAUGGAUUGGUCAGGAAUCAAAACUAUAACAUAACAACAUUUCAUCAUGGUAUAUAAACCUGAUUGUGGUGUAAUAUGGUGCGCUAACUAGUUUCUCACCACAGCCACUAGUCCAUAGUGAAAAGUAGUGUACUAUUUAUCACACCCUUUGAUACUACAUACUAUCGACCGUAAUGAUUUUUUUUUAAACCAUUGUCAAAUAUUUUGUUGUAGUGGUUGAUGAUAAUAUUUUUUAUUCUACUAAUACCUUGUUUUGUUAAGAAUUUUGUAAGAUAACGUAAUAGGAGUUUAAAAUGGCCAUGGUUAGAGAUUUCGAAUUCUUCUUUGAUAUUCAAAUUUAAAAAGUCUUUAUGGAGUUUAUAUACAUCAAAGUAAAUAUAUAAAGAAACUCUCGAAGAAAUUUAAAUUUGAAGAUUGAAAGCUAAUGCUAGAACCUAUACAUCCUUGAAUCUUGUUAAAAGAUGAGACAAAAAAAUCCUUUCAUUUGAGUAAAAGGUCUCACGUGUGCUAUCUUCGAUUUUGGUAGUAUAUGGUCUAGUUUAUUUGGAAAACCUAUAAAGAUGUUAUUUUUUCUAUAAAAAAUUAACCAAUGCUCUCGACGUAACAUGAUCAUGUACUCUUCGUGGAAUUAGGUUUGUGGUAAUUUGUAGGACGACUCAUGUUUAUCUCUUAAAUGUAAAAUAGGUUUUUUUGAAAAAAAAUUGAAUAAGUAUUACGACGAAAGAUAUGUUCUAGAGGAUAUAAAAUAAAGAAUAGACCAUAUAUUUUGUUUAGUACAUUACAAUGCUUGUCACUCGUGUGUGCCAUACCGGUAGAGUAUGUUUCUCAUUUGUUUAAUUGUAGUGUGACAAAAAAUCGAUGGUAUUUGAUUUUUGGUUGUGUGGGGAGGUAGUUAUUCUUCCAUAAGAUGUUACCCCGCUCUUUGAAAAAAAAACUCUACAUUAGGGGGUUUGGCUAGGUUUUGAGGGGAAUUUAUCAUGAUUUGGCAUUUAGUUAGGUGACUUAUUUGGAAAUGAUAUCACAUUUACAAGUAAACUGAUAAUCGAGGCGGAUGUGAAAGAUAAGAUUAUUUCUCUUGUAUGGAAAUGGUUUUUUGGUAGAUUUCUAAUUUUACUCAUGCACUUUUUUUAACAUGAUUUCUAACAAUAUCCUCUACUUGAGCCAAUAGCGAUUUGAGUGUUUUGGCCUAUUUCUCUUGAGAUUUUGGUUAGUGCUUUUGGAGGAUGUUCAACUGUUGGUGGUCCUUAUAGUUUCAUGACUCUACUAUCAGAUUAUUUUGUUGCUUGUCUUAUUAUUUUUAUCUUUAUUUUAUUUUGAUUCAUUUAGUCUCCUUCAUAAUUGCAUUUCUCGUGUUUAACAUGCAUAAAACUUUUGUUAGAUUUCUUGAUCUAAAUGCUCUUUGAUCAAUAGCAUAUGAUAGUGAAAUGAAAUCACUGUGUUUUUGGACAAACUUUGAUUCAAGGUAAAAUCUCAAAAAGCUUUUGAAAAAUUGAAAAUUUGAAAUUUUGAGAUCUUAAAAGAUUGAUUUGAAUCAUUCAGUUUUACACUGAAUUUUUUAUCCUGAUCAAAUUGGACAGUAGCUCAACUCAGCAACUUGAUCCUUAUUAGAUUUUAUACUUGAUCCUGAUCAUUUUUCUGGGAAUAAAUUUUGUCUGAUUUGAUUCGAAUCAGAACUUGUACAUGAUUUAAAUCAAUUUAAUUUUUCACAAAUCAUGUUUGUUCUGUUUGAUUUGAUUCGAAUCAAACUUUUAACAUAAUCCGAAACUAAUCAUUUUUCACAAAUCAGUCAUGUGUCAUUUGAUCUGAAUAAAAUUUUGUGCUUGAUUUGAAUCAGAAGGCAUUUGAUUCAAAUCAUGUUUCCUCUGAUCUGAAUCAACUGACAUAUUUUUCAAAAAUGAGGCAUUUCUUUCAUUUCACCUCAUUUUUCUCAUUUGAUUCAAACCAUAUUUUUCUUAAUUCGAAUCUAACUACAUUUUUUCAACCAUUUUGUGUGUUUUAUCUCAAGCACAUAUAAAUCAUUUUUGUCAUCAUUCUGCACAUAAAUCUAUCAUUCUGUUAAGAUUUUGUGUGAAAAUCAAUUUUCUCUAUUUUGAAUAUUCAAAGUCUUGCUACGAAUUUCUCACAUCUUCAACUUCAAUUGAGUUCAGAUCUUGACAACUAGAGUUCUGAGAUUGAUUGAAAGAGACACGUACUUGAAACUAACCGUUCUUUGAGAUCUUGUUGUGUUUUCAGGUUGUUAGCAAGAAAGAGGGAUUGUCAUUGGUGGUGACAAAUUUCAUUGAAAAGAAGUAGGUUCUUCUCUCCAGCAUUGCCUUAUUAGUAAUUGUGUGGAAGAUUACAGGUAAGGAGAAGUUCUUCUCGAAUCUUCGAGCAAUAUCAACGUUUAAAGAACCGGUAGGAUUAAGGGGUUGAUAGCUACACGUGAAGGUUUGGAGCAGAAUUAAUGUUAUUGGAAGGUUCAAGAAACAUAUUCAAAUAAAGAUUAAUUACGUAGAAGAGUUUGGCAAGAUUAUUGUAUAAAAGUCAAUAUCCAAAUUAGGAGAUUUAUUUUCUUAACUAUAAUUGUGGAUUGGUGAUUGUAUGAACUCUUAGAAAUAUUUGUCAAAUAACAAGGAACUAUGCAUGUUCCAAUAGCAACUUAUCGUCACUCUUAAAGUAAAUUUUGGAUUUUAUAAUGAUUUAGUUGUCAUACUACCUGUGAAACACGCACACAUUGACAUUGUUUAUGAUGUAUGUUUGUGUCUGACACGUGUCAGUGUUUGACACACAACAGAAAUUGAUACGAAAGAUGUUAGAUUUUUUGUAGGUGUCGUGAAAAAAUAAUAAUUUGACAUGGGAAGACACGGGAAAGACACGACAAAUCUCAAAUAAUUUCUUCAACAAAUCCAAAAUUUCCAAAAAUAAGAGCUUAUCUAAAAUAUUAAAAAAUAUUCUAAUAUUUAAAUAAAAUCAAAUCAAAUAUUUGAACGUUAAUAUUAUAUAACUGAUGUAUAUUAGAUUACAACAAUUUCAAAACCAAACUCUUAUAUGCUUUUAAACUUAUUUCCACUAUUGCGUCAACAAUUUCAAAACCAUGUUCAUUUUAGACAAAUACAAUACAAACAAAAUCACCUUUUUUUUUCCUUUUUGGGAAAAUCCAUCUUGAAGUGGCCAGGUUAGUGACAAGUUAAAUAUUUAAACUCUGAACAAUCAAACAUCGACUUGGAUUUUGACUUGGAUAUGUUCUCUUUCUAGUUUUGUCCCCUUGAGGCACUUAAGGCUUCACCUUUAUCAUCAACCUUCAAAUAUUUCUAUUUUGAUAAUUCUUUUGAUCUUACUGUUAAUUAGACUUCACCCGGAGUAAUAGCAUAUUUCUUAUAAUAAAUAAGGGGUUUCGUAAAGUGCUCGGAGGAUCUGGAUAAUGAGCUUAAUAAGAAUAGUGCUUUGCACACAUCUUAAAUAUUCAUCUCAAUAUUUUGUAAAUUAUCAAUGAUCUUGAGGCAUUUAAGCCUUCUCCAUUAUCGUCAACCUUUAAAUAUUUUAACUUUGAUAACUCCUUUAAUCUUAAUGCAAUUGGACUUCAUCCAAAGUGAUAACACCUUUUUUGCCAUAAACAAGGGCUUCUUUUUAAAUUUCUCAAAGGAUCUGCGUAAUGAGUUUAACAAGAAUUAAUUGUUGUUCAUAUCUUAAAUUUUCACCUCAAUAUUUUGUAAAUCAUCAAUGAUCUUGUAAAAUUCUUCCCGGUUCCCAACAAUGAUUUACUCCCCACCAUAUAGAAAGAAUAAAAUUGGUGUUUGAGACACAAUGUAUGAGUCAAUGACUUGGUCACAUAUAAUUAUUCAAGCUUGACCCACAUCCCAACUGCAAUCUUCUCCUUCACGACUUCCCUUAAUACUUUAUAUAUGAGGCACAAGAUAAUGACAUGUGUUGCCUUUUCUAACAUCUUGGUAUUUUCAUAAUUAUAAGGCUUGCAAACAUUAAUCCCUUUGUUGACCUUUAAUGCUUCUACACACCCUUGUUAAUUAAUAUUACUUGCAUCUUCACCUUCGAAGUCGUUGUCUCGAGAAAACUCAUCGAUGUAUCAUUUGGAAUCUAUGGUGCUUACUUAUAAACCUAACCUCUUUGCUCAAUGGUGGACUCCAUUUGUUGAGAGAAUAAGUACAAAUGAUUUACACGUAUUAAGAUUUUGAUAUAUGAGACAAAGAACAAUAACAUCCACUAAGUGACUUCAAACAACAACAAAAAUAAAUAAUAGGCAGGGUCAGCCCUGAGCUAAUUCGAGGAGUGCGAAAGUCUAGGGCACAAGAUUUUAAGGGUCAAAUAUUUUUUAAUAGUCACAGAGUAUUAUAAAAAAAAUUAUACACAUAUCAUGCCCAUUUUUUAUAUGAGAUUAAUUACUAUACACUGUCAAUGUAAAAAGUUUUACACCGUCGAUUCAUCACCAUCAUCCGUUUGUAUUACUUUAUAGAUUUUUAAAAUAAAAAUCAAACUUCUUUUAAUAUCCUACGUCUAUUUUUAACUGUCAAUGUAUUUCAAUUAAACUAUUUUUAUAUUCUUAUUAUUUUUAAAAAUUUAUACAAUUGCUAAGUUCAAAUUUUUAUAUGUGUCACUUCACUUUAUUUUAUUCCAACAUUUAAUUUCAAUUUCAAUCAUUAUUAGAAAGUUCGCUUUUAAUGACCGAAAUAGAAGUCGGAAAAACUUAAAAAUCGAUCGUUGUUACAUUUAUAUAAAAAUAUUUUUCGAGACCCAAUAGGCCAUCACAAAAUUUUAAUUGUUAAAUCGAUGACUGAUUUUUAUUUUGUGACUGAUAUAAUGACCUCUAAAAUUUUAGUCAUGGAUAUCAAAUUUUGGUGGUCGAUGGUUACGGUGGCCGAAAUUUUUGGUCAAUAAAAUAGUCACUAAAAGGAUUUUUUUUUAGUACUGAAUAUAAUUUGUAUCAUCCGUCCAUCUAACCAUGCUUGCAUCCCUCUCUGUUAGGAAACGCAAAUCAAUUUGCAUUGAUAGAUAAAAAAUUUGUUAGAAAUUCAAUCAUUAAGAUCAUUAAAUAGGUAAAAAGAAAUUGAUGAUUCUUGAUUAUAAACAUGAUAUGAGUCAUCAUGAACCAAUAACUCUUAUAAUUCGUUCAGUGAAUAUGUUAACUAUAAAAAUUAAGUUUGAUUAGUUAUUUUUAUAUUUUUAAAAGUGAUGAUACAUUUAGGUUAGAACUUUUUGAUGAAUUAUUAAAUAUUUUUAAAACUCUUGAUUUUAAUAUUGAUUGAUUGAUAGGGAAAAUUUAUGAUAAUGUUUCAAAUAUGAAAGACAAUCAUCAAGAUGUUUAAAAGCGAUUUCUCGAGAUUAAUCUUAAAGAGUUAUACAUUCUAGUGUUAACGAUAUUUCAUCUUUGGAGUUAUUCAAAACUUAUAUUAAUUAUUUUCAAGAUCUAUAAAAAGAUGAUUUUUUUUUAAUAAUAUUCUUAGUUUAACUAUGAAAUAUUUAUCAAAUACUCAUUGAGAAUGUCAAUUAAGAGUGUUAAAUAUCUCCAAAUAAGAUUGACUUUGUUGCAAUUAUAUGAAUGUUGUGAUAAUGAUGCAAAGACAAUGAGUGAUGUGGAGAGUUUUUGUAAUCCACUAUAAAGUUUUGAAUUUCCACUUGAUAUGCAUGGUUAUUUGGUAUAUGGUCAUCUAAAAGUUGUAAUUUAUGUCUAUGUGUACCGACGCUGCCAUAAAACAAAUGAAAUGUGUAUUACCAUAUUUUGAAAAAUAUCGAGAGAAAGAUUUUACAAAAAGUAUGAGGCUUGUAAAAAGUGUUGCACUUGAAAUGAAUGUUGAGCUCAUCUUUUCCAACAAAACAUGUGAUUAGAAAGAAAAAAAACGAUUUAUGAGAGAAAAAUUAAGAACAUGAAAAUCACUAACCACAAUAACCAUUUAAAAUUGACUAUUUUCUUAUUAUCGUUGAUAUGACAAUUACUUCUUCGAAUAAUAUAUUUGAGGAAUUGAAGACAUUUGAAAUAUUUUUGAAUUUUUAUAGGAUUCACAAAAGUUAUUGAAUGAUAAUGAAUUGAAAGAAUGUUGCGUCAAAUUUCACUAAAAUGUUUUUACAUAUUGUUAUUCAAAUGUAUCAAUUGCUUAUAGAAUUUUACUAAUAUCACCAAUGUUCUAAGAGAGAUUUAAUGGUUUGACAACUCUAUCGAUUGAAAAAGAUACAUUGGAAAACUGACGUGAUUAUAAAUGAUUUUGCAUACCAAAAUGUUUGAAAAAACCACUUAUGAAAUUCUGAAUAUAUUAAAGCGAAACGAAUUAUUUUUCUUAGAUUUCCCCUAGAGACCAAAAAAUAUCGCCAACAAGGCUGAUAAUAGGUGAGAACAAGUGAAAUAAUUUAUCUAAUUUGAUUAAAUAUUUGCGUGAGUGAGCAACUCUCUAUUUUACGAUAUUUCAAAAAUGGUCGUAAGAUUUCACAAUAUAAAUUAUAAUAAUUUUUACUAAAGUAUUUCUCAAUCCCUUUAAUUUUCAAUAUAAAAAUCCUAUAAAUGAAAUAUGUUUACGGUUUCCUCUCAAAUGUCUUUGACAACUCAAAAAAACUACCAAACUCCAAGAAUUAAAUUUUAGAAAUUUCUCCCACGAGGAUUUUUAUUUUAUGCAUGUUCUCAAUGUUUUAAUAAAUGAAAACAAAAUCAUAUUUAUAUUUAUAAUGGUCAAAUUCUUAAAGGAUCCAAUAUAUGAUUAUUAACCUAUACUCUAUCGAUUUUACAAUAGGUAUUCUUUUUUUAUUAUUAUUAUUUGUCUUAAAUUAUUUGUCCCUUUAAAAUAUAAAUGUGAUAUUUAUUAUUAUUUUUUUAUUAAUUUACUUUUAUUUAUUAUAUUUUAAUCAUGUAAAUAUUUUAUUAUCUAUUAUAAUAAAAAUAUUUCAAUAAAUAAUAUUUAUUUUAUCAUUAAAAUUACCACAAUUAAUUAUUAUCUUAAAAAAUAUAAAUAUGAGAUAAUAUAUUGUUUUCUUCUCACAUUUCUCAAUUGAGAUUUUAAAAUAUAUCAAUAUCACUUCAAUUAUGUUGAAAGAGUCUAGUCGUUCCUAAAGAACACGACUUCUACCAUUAAUGUUGUUUAAUUUCAAUUGUAUUCAUAAAAUUGUAUGUUAGGUUUCUUUAAUUAUUUUAUUAACAUAAGUCGUGAGAGGGAACUUUUAUUUACGUAGUUAAUUUCAUAAUAUAAAUAAAGUUUAAAAAUAGUAUAUUAUUGAUGAAAUGAAAAUAUCUAAUUAAAAUAUUUUAUAUGGUUAGAUCAUAUCAUUAUUUUAAAAAUAAAAAUAUGAUGUAGUGGAAUACACGUUUCACAUUGAUUGACAUUGUAAUAAAAAUAUUUUAUACUAUCGAUGUAUAUUUCUUUUUCAUAUAAAUAUAAAAUUCCAAAUAUUUAUUUUCAUUUAUAUUUUUUUGUUAUAGUAAUUUAAAAGAUUUUAAAUAUAUAUUCCUUCCACUUUUUUACAUAUUUUAAUUAUAACCAUAUUUUUAGUUUUUAAGUAGAUUGAAUAAUUAAAGUAGAUUGUCCUAACUAUGUAGUAAUAAUUACUUGUUUAUGUCAUCUAAAACAAAACAGGGUAACAACACUUGGAUAUUAUAAUACAUUUAUUUUAAGAUUGACAUAUAUGCUUUAAGCUUGAAGAAAUACAAAAUAAAGUGUAAUAGUAAUCAUAUGAGUAACAACAUUAUGACAUGCAAAUAAAACUACUGCCUUAAAAAUAUUAUAAAAUUCUCAUGUGCAAACACAUUCAUUCCAAAAGCACUUCCAGACAUGAGGAAGACCACAAAUAUCAACAGGACAAUCAUAAUCAUUUAUACAAAACCAAGGAUCAUCUGUAGUAGAAAACAAGAAUAAGUAAGUGUAAUUUAUAAUUAUGAGAAUUACGUAUAGACAAAAAUUUGAAAGAUGAGAAAAAGGGCUUACUAUACGCUUGAGUGACAACAAGUAAUAUAGAAACUAACAGGAUCACAACAUAGACAAACUUGAAAACUUCAGCCAUAUAUUUCCACCUUUUUGUGAAAAGAAGAAAAGAAAAAGAACUCUGAUCACUUUAGGAUGUUAGUGUAUGAAUAAAUUGUUUUAGCACUUAUAGAAUUACAAAAACACUUUCAUAAAAUAGAAUAAUUAUU